rnacentral:rRNA from 1 species
GACGAACGCUGGCGGCGUGCUUAACACAUGCAAGUCGAACGGAAAGGCCCUGCUUGCAGGGUACUCGAGUGGCGAACGGGUGAGUAACACGUGGGUGAUCUGCCCUUCACUUCGGGAUAAGCCUGGGAAACUGGGUCUAAUACCGGAUAGGAGCCAUUUUUAGUGUGAUGGUUGGAAAGUUUUUUCGGUGUAGGAUGAGCUCGCGGCCUAUCAGCUUGUUGGUGGGGUAAUGGCCUACCAAGGCGGCGACGGGUAGCCGGCCUGAGAGGGUGGACGGCCACAUUGAGACUGAGGUACGGCACAGGCUCCUACGGGAGGAAGCAGGGGGGAAUAUUGAUCAAUGGGCGCAGGGCUGAUGCAGCGGCGCCGCGUGGGGGAUGACGGCCUUCGGGUUGUAGACUCCUUUCGCUAGAGAAGAAGGUUUUUGUGACGGUACCUAGAGAAGAAGCACCGGCUAACUACGUG